rnacentral:rRNA from 1 species
UACGUAGGGCGCAAGCGUUGUCCGGAAUUAUUGGGCGUAAAGAGCUCGUAGGCGGUCUGUCGCGUCUGCCGUGAAAACCCGAGGCUUAACCUCGGGCUGGCGGUGGAUACGGGCAGACUAGAGUGCGGUAGGGGAGACUGGAAUUCCUGGUGUAGCGGUGAAAUGCGCAGAUAUCAGGAGGAACACCGGUGGCGAAGGCGGGUCUCUGGGCCGUAACUGACGCUGAGGAGCGAAAGCGUGGGGAGCGAACAGG